UACAGAGGUCUCAAGCGUUGUUCGGAUUCAUUGGGCGUAAAGGGUGUGUAGGUGGCGCGCUAAGUCGGGUGUGAAAUUUCGGAGCUUAACUCCGAAACUGCAUUCGAUACUGGCGUGCUUGAGGACUGGAGAGGAGACUGGAAUUCAUGGUGUAGCAGUGAAAUGCGUAGAGAUCAUGAGGAAGACCGGUGGCGAAGGCGGGUCUCUGGGCCGAUACUGACGCUGAGGAGCGAAAGCGUGGGGAGCGAACAGG
rnacentral:rRNA from 1 species